ACAGCUCUUCGUUAGGUGAGGCUCCUGUAUGGAGAUACGCUGCUGCCCAAAAAUGUCCAAAGACGCCAAUGGGUCAACAGAAAUCAUCGAUCUAAGGUGAUUUUUAAUGCAGCUGGCAUGCUGCCUAUGCCAUACAGUGCUAAAGCUCUACGAUGGAAGGCGUUA
rfam:Bacillus licheniformis ATCC 14580, complete genome.